GGGGCGGGGCUCCACCGACUCUGCCGUGCGGGGUGGUGCGGAGCAGCUGAGUGUGCCUUGCGUAGGGCGAGAUGUUGUUUUGUUGUGGCGAUCAGCUGAAUGUGGCAUCGCUGUCCGGUCUGACACUACAGCGGGGAGACCCCCGCCUUCCUCCGGCUCUUCCUGCCCACGACCGCGCUGCGCCCCGAGAGCGGCUCCAUCCAGCACAUCACAAUCCAGGAAAUGCGCACGUCUGGCCCUUUCACUGCAGCGCCCGGACUUUAGCGAGCUGACCCCUCAGAAGUUGAACAUCUGGCAGUCUUGACAACCAACGGAGAAGAUGCAAAGAAGACCAUGGGAGAGUUGUUAGGAUGGCUGAGGCCGAACAGAAGCAGAGCUGCUUUGUGAAUGGAUAUGAUCCAUGCUUAUCUGCAUCGAUGCAGUUCCUGGGCACCUUUUAAUGAUGUCUCAUUUGGUCCUCUUGAAUAACUUUUGGCCCACAUUGAGGAAGGCCCUCCAUUUUCAUUUACAACCCACACUGUUGAUGUUUCCCUGCCUCUGCCCAAUCUGCUAGCUAACAGUUAGCCCCAUGAGGCUCCAAGAGCCCUUCCUUGUGUGUCAGUGAGGCCUCCUCUCCACUCUAUGGAGGCUGAGCCCAGCCGUCCAGCUGAUGGGCAGCGCUCUGGAAGGCAAGAGCAGCAGCAUGUGACAACUGAAUCCCCGCUUGGAUCUUGUCCACCUCAGCAGCCCCAGCAGCCUCCUAAUCCUCGUCCUGUACACAGAGCCUUGGGACGUCUGCAAAAUCGCCAGCCCAGACGCACUGACCUUCUGCUUCGGUUGCAGCAGCAGCAAGCAGUAGCAUGGCAGCAUUCAGACAACCCAGGUCCCUCAGGAGGCAGCUUCUUCUCUCCCGCUUCCCCGUCCACCUCAUUCGUCCCCAGCCAGGGUGAGCAUGGCCAUGGGGCCCCAUCUCAUUCCAGCCAAGAGGGUGUAGAGGGGGUCAGCUCACCCAGAAAAGGAGAGAAGAAACCCCCAAAACCAGGGAAAUAUGUGUGCUCUUACUGUGGCCGUCCAUGUGCCAAGCCAAGUGUUCUUCAGAAACACAUUCGCUCCCAUACUGGAGAAAGACCCUAUCCUUGUGCCCCCUGUGGAUUUUCUUUCAAGACCAAGAGUAAUCUGUACAAACACCGUAAGUCCCAUGCCCAUCGCAUUAAAGCAGGAUUGGCAUCCAGUCGUGAUGAGCCCAGUUUGAGUGGACCAGAGGGCAGUGGCAUUGGUGAAGACCCAGAGGAGCACACAGAGGGAGAAAGCACUGAGUCUGAGGAAGAGACAGGACAACACACUAAAACCUCUGUCAAGGAGAUGUUGGGCCAGCAGAGUCAAGGUGGUAAAGAGGUCCUUGCAGGCUCAGAGGAGAGUCAGAGGCCUGAAGACUCCCAGGCUGUAAAGCAAAGGUUGGCACUGAGGCUUAGUGAAAGGAAACGUGGACCCAUGGCUUCUCCAGAUGACCCUCCCUCUUCCCUCUCCACCUCAUCUUCUUCUCUAGGCCCUGGCAGUAAAGGCAGCACAGAGUCUGGCUACUUUUCUGGAUCAGGUAGCACUGAACUGUCUCAAGUUAGCCCCCCCAGUGCCAGUGCCAAAACCUAUGCAGAAAUUAUUCUGGGGAAAUAUGGAAGGCUGGGAGGACAGCAGCGCAGUCCGCAUCAGCAGCAGCCUCAUUCUUCACUUUCCUCAUCAUCAGAAAUGGAGGAAAAGAACAUUCCUUUCACUGUACAAAAAACCCAAGUAAUAGAACACAUUACAAAGCUCAUCACUAUCAAUGAAGCAGUAGUAGACACCAGUGAAAUUGAUAGUGUAAAGCCACGGCGCUCCUCUCUGUCUAGGAAGAGCAGUAUGGAAUCACCUAAAUUUAGUGCCCCUAAAGAUCCCUACACAUUUGAUCCCAAAGGAGAAAUUGCUGGUCCAAGUGGUUUGAGGCAACUCCACAAUCCUGAGGCAGAGCCACUAGAUACAGAGGAGCUGUCAUCUAUACCUCUGCUUAGAAGCCACUCAAUGCCAUCAUCUACUAGCCAAGGAGAGCCUUCCACCUCUAGCACCAUGUCUCCCAGAGGUUAUCGUCUCAGCCAGUCAUUCGAUGAGCAACAAGCAGUGGUAGCAGAGAUGAGGGCCAGCCAUACUCAGCGUAUGCUGAAGCGCCAGCCUGCCAUAGAAGUCCCACUGGGAGCUGAGGUAAUGCUGGAGGAAGUCGGUCCAUCCACCUCCUCCUCCUCAGCCAGAGGCACUGAACUAGCCAGGCAGCUGCAACAACAGCAAAAAAGUCCUAGCCCAUUUGAAUGUGAAGCAUGCAGGGCCCACUUUCAACAUAGCGAAAGCUAUGAGGCCCACAGAGGCAUCUGUCCAGGGCAGCAAACAUUGGAGCAGGAGAGCAGGGAUGUGAGAAAAACAUCCCGGGAGGACCGUCCCCCGAUGAUGAUGCACUAUAAGUUUCGGGCACUGGCCAUGGCUGUGAGGAAGAGGAGGAAAGAGGAGAGCCUAGAGGAGGACCCUGCCAGCCCUGGAUCAGUAUCCACGUCAGGUAGCGCGACAGGCCAUGUUCCAGUGCCAAGCAGAACGGAGCACAACCAGGCCCUCUCAGGUUUGUCUUUACAGUCAGAGCCGAAAGAACAGCAGCAACAGGACAGGAAGGGAGUGUCUGUCAUCCAGCACACAAGCUCCUUUGAGAAGCAGGAAAGUAUAUCUAUGGAAAGUCAGGAACCAGACCACAGAAAGCGUCAGCAAACACAGCAACCUGAGCCAAAACCAUCACCCUCCACAUCUCGCCUCAUCCGUCAGCCAAACAUCCAAGUGCCAGAGAUACUUGUUACUGUGGAGCCUGAUGCUGACAUGCCAUCUGUCUCAUCUCCAACAUCCUCAUCCAAGGAGGUGGAGAGAAUUGAGGAGUUCCAAUGGCCUCAGCGUAGUCAGACUCUAGCCCAGCUCCCUGCAGAGAAACUGCCACCAAAGAAGAAAAGACUCCGUCUGGCAGAAGCAGCCCAGUCCUCUGGAGAGUCUAGCUUUGAAUCUGCAUCUCUGUCCCGCAGCCCCAGUCAGGAAAGCAACAUUUCCCACACUUCAAGCCUUUCUGCCUCUUUUGAGGACACAGCAAGAUCAGAGCCUGUUGUCUGGGCUGUCGGUAACCAAAGCUCCCAGAUGUUAAUGGUGCCACCUGCUUCACAUCAACACCACCAAAGCCACAAGGAGAUGAGGCGCUCAGCUUCAGAGCAGGCACCGGCCAGCCCUCUGCAAACAGAGCAGAUCUCAGAGACCAGAAGUAAGUCUUUUGACUAUGGGUCUCUCUCCCCUCAGCAGUCUACAUCCGCCUGGAAAGAAAAGAGAAAGUGUCUGCUUGUAAAGCAUGCCACAUUAGGGGAGCCUGAACAGGAGGAAGGGGCCAGCACAAGUCAUGCAUACAGAGCAGAGAGUCCAAAGCCUGGGCCUUCUCAUUCCAUCCUUCCUCCUCGGUGUUCCAUUGAGCCACGCACCCAAUUCAGUCUGGAAGCCACAGGGAAGGCAUUGCAGAUGUUACAGCCACAAAUCAUCCCACCCCCUCAGGAUGUGCUCCCUUUGAAACCCAGAGGCCAACAAUCAUUCCCUGCAGGAUCACUAUCCCAGCUACUCCCCGUCACCACAACCAUCUCUGAAGCGCUGUCCACUCAGCUCAUCCACAGAGCCUUCUUACACCCUCAGUCAGGACCUCCACAUACACAGACACAGCAAACACACAUCCACAUGGCAGAACAGUUGGGUGUACCAUUCCGUCAUCUUCCAGCUUUAGUUCCUCUUCAGUUCUCUUCCAGCACCGGCGCUAGUCUGUCUCUUUGCUUGCCUGUUCCUCCAAGACUUAGCACACAUGUUCCUUCCCCUCCGAUGGCAGACAGCAGAUCCUCCAUCUCCUCUAUGUCUUCUGACCGUCCCCAUCCCUCGCUUUUAACGAUUCCCUACCACCACCCACGGCCUGUCAUCGCCACAUGUUUGGCACAGCUCACACCAGUAGCGUCACUUGUGGUUCCAGUUCGCCUCCAGACACACAUCCCUACCUAUGCCAGUGCCAUGUAUACCACCCUGUCUCAGAUCCAGGCCUGCACACGAUCACAGGAACCCAUUUCCUGCACAGCUAUGGUCAUCAUGGGCCAAACUGAAAGGGAAAAGCUGCAAAGUUCAUACUUGAAGGUCCCUUCUCCAGACGUCAUUCUCCCCCUGUGUCUGCCUUCAGAGUUGCCCUCUGGAUCUGGGGAGGCAUAUGGUCCACUGGGUGCCGGAGGAAGUAAACGGAUGCUUUCCCCUGCAGCCAGUCUGGAGCUCAGCACAGAGGCUCAACGUCACCUGAAAAGGGUAAAAGAGGAAGAGGAAGGGGAGCAAUGUAAGGAAGGAGAGGAGGAACAGGAGGAUGGGGAUGCUGAACAGAAAGGGCAUGAGGACAAAAAUAAAGUCACUGGGAGAAAACUGGAAGAGCGAGAGAAGGAACAAUCUGGGAGAGUAGAGGUGACAGCUGUGAAAGAGGAGAGGGAGCAGGAGAAAAUGUCAAGGCAACAUAACAGGGAGGAAAAGGAAAAGGGGGAGAAGGAGUCAACAGAGAAGACCAGUCAAAAAAAAGAAGAGGUGCCCUUUGUGGAAGGGGGGGUUGAGAGAUUAAGCGUCCCUACAUUCCCGAGCCUUCACACCUCCACCUUAGUCAACUCGUGCUACCUGAAUUAUGUCAAACCCAACCCAUCCACACAGAGGGACCCCCACACUUCAGUUUAUUCUACCUGGAGUGUAAGUGCUCACAACCCCAACUUGCCAGGACUCAGCACUAAAAUGGUCUUGUCUCUACUGUGCUCCAAACAAAAGCACAGCACAGAGACGUACACCAUGGCCACAGCCUCAAACCCGGCCAAGAACAAGCUGCCCACUGUCAGUAGCAGGACUCCACAUGUGUCAGAGGUACAUGCCACCCCAACCAGCACCCUCACUGAAGUAAGGGAUCAGCAGCAACAGCACGAGAAGGAGGAACAUAAAGAGAUGAAAGAGGAGGAAGGACCCUCCACUUCCAAAAAGGGCGAGCCUUCUCGUGUUCGUAUUUUCGAAGGCGGGUACAAGUCCAACGAAGAGUAUACUUAUGUGCGAGGUCGUGGCAGGGGAAAGUACAUAUGUGGAGAGUGUGGCAUCCGCUGUAAGAAGCCCAGCAUGCUGAAAAAGCACAUCCGCACACACACAGAUGUCCGUCCAUACAUUUGCAAACACUGCAAUUUUGCCUUCAAAACCAAAGGAAACCUUACUAAACACAUGAAGUCAAAGGCUCAUGGGAAAAAAUGUCAGGCAAUGGGAGUAUCUGAGUCAUCACUGGAUGAGCCAGAGAGCGAGGAAACAGUAGGAAGUGAUGAACGUGUGUGUGGCUCAGAGGAACAGGAGGAGCAUCAGUUUUCCGACGUGGAAGACUCUGAGGAUGAUGAUGAGGAUGACGAUGAUGAGGAAGAAGAGUCCGUAUCCCAUGACGACGCACCCUCUUCCUGUUCGUCAGACACCCACCUAUCUACUGGAGGGCACUCCACCUACUGUAGGCAGUCUCAACAGGGUACCCCCGAACCAGAGCCCCCUGCAGGCCCCAGUCCUGGUCAGGAGCACUCCCCGAGGGGAGUGUGGCUCAGCAGACGACCCGCCUCUCCGGGCAGCAGGAGAGCACUUUACUCCCGGCGGGGUUGGAAGGCAUCACCAAGAGCCUUCUCCCCCAGCAGUGAGAGCUGCUCCCCCAGCCGCAGCCUCUCCCCCCGCCUAGAGCUGUCCUCACCCAUCCACAGCCUCUCCCCCAGGACUGACCUGUCCUCACCCAGCCGACAUGUCUCACCUUCCCCUGAGAGAGGACCUUCUCCCAUUAGACCUAUUUCUCCACUUCAUACCAUUUCACCCACCUGCUACCAAUCAUCACUAGCUUGGACGCCUCCCUUACCGCUUGGAUUGCAGCACAGGACAACUGGAUACCUGCCUUGGGAGAGUCCCAGUACAAAGGGUAGUCAUGUCAGACUGGAGAAAAGACGUACAGCAGCUGGUGAAGGACCAACAAUGCCAGAAACCAGCUUGUUUCCUGCUGCUUUUCGUCUCUCUGCAUGUGAAGGUUAUCCUGGCCACCAAGCAGCAGAUAACAUAUUCAGCCAUCUUCCCAUGCACUCCCAACAAGCCAAGGUCCCUUAUCUGAUGAUCUCCAUUGGAGGAAUCCAAAUGGUACAGGCCAGAACCAGGUCCCACCCUACCACCCCCUCAUCCCCAACAUCUCCCCCCUUAGAGGGGCCAUCAACGGCCAGAUUUGAAUUACACUGGGGUGGAACACCCCAAACUCAAGGGCUUAGGACUCCUGGAGACCACUGGUCAGAGCACCAGGCUGCAGGAACCAGCCAGUCAGGGCGGUGCAGUCUCAGCACAGCUCCACCAUGUUCCAAACUGGAGCUGGAGACCACAGACUCAAAGCAAUAUGGCAGCUCACAUAGCGCCGACCACACUUGCAGGUCUGCCACUGAGACCAGUGAAUGCUCCUUCAGAGACAGCCGUUUGAGAGCAACCCUCAGUCGAGCAGCCCCUGUAGCCUCACGUCUCAUUGGACAGCAGCAGGAGAGGGAGGAGCCACCAUCGAGUAGUGAUCUGGUGGAGGGCGGAGCUAAGGAAGACUCGGCCAGAACAGACCAGAGCACUUAACAGUGUCUACAACUUGAUGCGUCGUGCAUCCCAUUUUGCUUUAUUGGUUGCUACACUAGUCUCGUUUUUUUUAUUGCUUUGUUUUUAUACAGUUUUCAAUACUAUUGUUAACUUAAUCGUUUGUUCCUUGGCAACAUUCAGAUUUAAAGAAUUGUGGGCUGAUUUUUCAUCAGCCCCCAAGUUUGGCUCCCAUGUUCCCAUGUUCACUACCAGGAGUACGAAACUGGACCUGGACCACACAAUGCUGGGAAACUAUACCUGGAAUGGAUUUUCAUAAGCGGGCAAGUAAACAAGUUAGGUCAGUCACACAGUCUCUGACCCAGACGUGCUAGCUUGCGUUAGCCACAGUGGUGCUCUUUUGAUUCAAAGCUCAAAUGAACCACCACAGACUUGCAGGGUUUGUUUGUCAGAACCCACCUGUUAUUAGCAGUAGUUUCAAGCUACGUAGGCUAACAUAGCACCUAUAACGGUACACCUGCUUAACACAAAAGAGGCCACUUCGGUGUUGCUCUUCAUCCCUGUGCUUUCCAUCAGUGUUUGCCAACACCAGAUUCACAAUGGUUUUUGAACGGCUCUUAUCUGCUCUCUGUUUACCACAUCUUAGCUCUCGGGUCUGCUAUAAACUGCAGCUUGUGAGACCUGCGUGGUUGUAUUUUUUGCCGUUGUUGGCUGAAGAAUCUUCUAUUUCUAACACGGCACCAGUGAAGAUACUACUUUUCUGUGGCCUAAUGUCAAUACACAGAAAUGAAACGGACCAUGAGCAAAACAAUGUGAAAACUGAGGACACAACCACACACUGGUUGUGGCUCGUCAAAGACAAUUGGUAUGGAUUACUUUUGGAUUCAUCUGUAGUUUGUUUUGUAGGAAAAUGCUGCACACUCUCCUUUUAAGGGGCGGAGACGUGUUCAUAGAAUGACAAAAGUCAAACCUCAAAUUUCAAUAUCUGAGAGAGUCUGAAUAUGUCAAAAAUAUCAUUCAUCAAAGUAACAGAUGUACAAGAGGACUGAGAUCUACUGUUUGCCAUACAGAUGAUUCCUCACAUACAUAUCUGACCCCUCACGCCUUGCAUCUGUCAUUUAUUUCAUUUUUCUUUCUUUGAAUUUCUUGCAUUUAAAAAAUGGACAGAAAUUGCAGCUUCUCUAUAAUACACUUGGUUCUCAGCACCUUAUUGUAGGAUUCUAAAAUUGUAUUCCUUUAGUAUGGCCACUGGGUGUCCUUACUGAGUCAUAGUGAAGUGAAGACUAGAAUCAAAGAGAUACCCUGGGUUUUCAGUUUUAAUUUUAGUAGACGAAAGGAAACGCCUUUCAAAAGAAAUUCACCUUAUCAUCUCUGAACCAACAUGAACGUCAUGACAUCAUGCGUAUGAAUUCCAGGAACUAUGGUUAACAGUGAGUUGACAGUGGAUUCUGUUUGUGACUCACUUUUAUGAGCACUUAGUUAUUCUGUUUGGAUUUCAUCCUCUUUAUUACAUUAUGUAUUAUUAAUAUUAUAUCUCACACUGACUAUCAUUCAAUUCACCUUUUUGUUUUGCUGUGUAAAUGCUCCUGUCAUGUUUGGCACAUGCAUGUAACUUGUGUUGGACAAUAUUUAUUAAUAUGUGCAUAUCUUCCACCCCAGCAGUGUUCUCUCUCUCUCUCUCCCUCUCAUGUCCUUGGCACAACAACGUUUAACUGCACAGCAGGACAUGGAUUAUGUAAAGCAGCCACAGCAAGUGUGUUGACAAGAAGCAAAAGCCCAGAACAUGCUGACAACAACAGAGCCAGGGGGAGGUUUGUAGGAUAUUUUUUAAGGAGGCAUCUGAGGAGGUAAUGUGGCUAAUUAAAAAUAAACAUGUGUUUCUAGGACAAAAGUCAGCACAAUACACGAGGGUGCAGCUGAAUCAAAGAGAGACUCUUGCUGCUCCUCUUACGUUCGUCCCUCACUGUUUUCCUUCUGGUAAUAUUUUUAGAGACGGGGCUGCUGUGAUGCAAUGUCUGUAGAGUGGGGGAACAUCUGUGCUCCUGAGGGAACUGAACUCAUACCCCCUGUGUGUGUGUGUGUGUGUGUGUGUGUGUGUGUAGCAUCACAUCACCGUGUCAUACUGUACAUUCCUUGCAUUUUUAUGCGAAAAAGGGAACAUGACGUCCCCCUCCCCUGGCAGAUGAUGUGUUUGACAGUGAAAUGUUCAGAGCGACAUAGUGAUCGCUAAGAGAUCUACAGACCAACUGAAGCAAUGGGUGUAUUCUCGUGUUAAAGGUGCAGUGUGUAAUAUUCAGGAAGGUUUAUAGGCAGAAAUAGAAUACGUUACCCAUCAAUAUGUCUGUAUAAGUGUAUACAGUCUCGUAUAUAAUGUAUAUGUAUGUAAUUAUAUUUUAUCUUACCAGAA